rnacentral:lncRNA from 1 species
GUGGGCAGGGGCUUGUCCUCCAGCCUGGUCCUCCUACACAAUCUUCCCCAGGCUCUCUUCCCUCCUCUGCUUGUGGGUUACAGAGGAUCCUAUCCCAGGGAAUUGUGGGGCCAUCAAAGGAGGGUGCUGAGUCCCUAGAUGACUGCAUGGCACAGGGUAUCUGCUCUGACCUACGUGGGACUUUGACUAAGACACCAUGAUUGGGCACUGCUUGUUACAGUGCUAGCCUGCCCUCAUGAACACUGGCCUUCUUCCUUGUGAAAUGUGCCUGGAUUUCCACCCAGAAGUCCAAGAUGAUCAUUGUAUGUAAACGAUUUGAGGCUUGAACAUCCUACAAGAUGACUGAGUGAAUUCGAAAAAUAGAGACUGUUGUGUUGCUUAUGAAGUGGGAUACUGUUUGAAUAUUAAACUGACUUUUCUCAUUCCUCA